CCUACGAGUGGCAGCAGUGAGGAAUAUUGGUCAAUGGUCGGAAGACUGAACCAGCCAAGCCGCGUGCGGGAUGAAGGUACAGAGUGUCGUAAACCUCUUUUGUCAGAGAGCAAACGCAGGUACGUGUACCCGGAUGAGUGUACCGGAAGAAAAAGCAUCGGCUAACUCCGUGCCAGCAGCCGCGGUAAUACGGAGGAAUCAAGCGUUAUCCGGAAUUAUUGGGUUUAAAGGGUGCGCCGGCGGUCUGAUCAGUCAGGGGGUAAAUCCCGGGGCUCAACCCCGGCACUGCCUGUGAACCUGUCAGUCUAGAGAUGGAUAGCAGUAUGCGGAAUGUGUGGUGUAGCGGUGAAAUGCUUAGAUAUCGUACAGAACUCCGAUUGCGAAGGCAGCAUGCC
rnacentral:rRNA from 1 species